rnacentral:rRNA from 1 species
CAAUAGCGUAUAUUAAAGUUGUUGCAGUUAGAACGCUCGUAGUCGGAUUUCGGGGCGGGGCGACCGGUCUGCCGAUGGGUACGCACUGGUCGGCGCGUCCUUCCUUCCGGAGACCGUGCCUACUCUUAACUGAGCGGGGGCGGGAGACGGAUCGUUUACUUUGAAAAAAUCAGAGUGUUUCAAGCAGGCAGCUCGCUCUUGCAUGGAUUAGCAUGGGAUAAUGAAAUAGGACUUUGGUGCUAUUUUGUUGGUUUCGAACACCGAAGUAAUGAUUAACAGGGACAGUCAGGGGCACUCGUAUUCCGCCGAGAGAGGUGAAAUUCUCAGACCAGCGGAAGACGAACUACUGCGAANGNAUUUGCNAGGGAUGUUUNCACUG